GACGAACGCUGGCGGCGUGCUUAACACAUGCAAGUCGAACGGGCGCUGUUUUGGAAAGGCUUCGGCCAGGAAGAAAUAGUUGCUAGUGGCGGACGGGUGAGUAACACGUGAGCAACCUGCCCUGAAGAGUGGAAUAACAACGAGAAAUCGUUGCUAAUACCGCAUAAGACCACAGAGUCGCAUGGCUUAGGGGUCAAAGAUUUAUCGCUUCAGGAUGGGCUCGCGUCCCAUUAGCUAGUUGGUAAGGUAAAGGCCCACCAAGGCGACGAUGGGUAGCCGAGCUGAGAGGCUGAUCGGCCACACUGGGACUGAGACACGGCCCAGACUCCUACGGGAGGCAGCAGUGGGGAAUAUUGGGCAAUGGGCGCAAGCCUGACCCAGCAACGCCGCGUGAAGGAAGAAGGCUAUACGGUUGUAAACUUCUGUUAUAAGGGACGAAACAAAUGACGGUACCUUAGAAGAAAGCCCCGGCUAACUACGUGCCAGCAGCCGCCGUAAAAC
rnacentral:rRNA from 1 species